rnacentral:rRNA from 1 species
AGUGAACGCUGGCGGUAGGCCUAACACAUGCAAGUCGAACGGCAGCACAGUAAGAGCUUGCUCUUACGGGUGGCGAGUGGCGGACGGGUGAGGAAUACAUCGGAAUCUACUUUUUCGUGGGGGAUAACGUAGGGAAACUUACGCUAAUACCGCAUACGACCUACGGGUGAAAGCAGGGGAUCUUCGGACCUUGCGCGAUUGAAUUAGCCGAUGUCGGAUUAGCUAGUUGGCGGGGUAAAGGCCCACCAAGGCGACGAUCCGUAGCUGGUCUGAGAGGAUGAUCAGCCAAACUGGAACUGAGACACGGUCCAGACUCCUACGGGAGGCAGCAGUGGGGAAUAUUGGACAAUGGGCGCGAGCCUGAUCCAGCCAUACCGCGUGGGUGAAGAAGGCCUUCGGGUUGUAAAGCCCUUUUGUUGGGAAAGAAAAGCAGCAGGUUAAUACCCCGCUGUUCUGACGGUACCCAAAGAAUAAGCACCGGCUAACUUCGUG